GAGAGCCCGUUGCGGUGUGAGCCGCACGGCGGGUUCGGAGAGCGGCCUGAGGAAACGGACCAGGAGCAAUCCCGGCACCGCGCCUCAGGUCGACUCACC
rnacentral:autocatalytically_spliced_intron from 1 species